rnacentral:rRNA from 1 species
UACGAAGGGGGCUAGCGUUGCUCGGAAUCACUGGGCGUAAAGGGUGCGUAGGUGGGUCUUUAAGCCAGGGGUGAAAUCCUGGAGCUCAACUCCAGAACUGCCUUUGAUACUGAGGAUCUUGAGUUCGGGAGAGGUGAGUGGAACUGCGAGUGUAGAGGUGAAAUUCGUAGAUAUUCGCAAGAACACCAGUGGCGAAGGCGGCUCACUGGCCCGAUACUGACGCUGAGGCACGAAAGCGUGGGGAGCAAACAGG